rnacentral:rRNA from 1 species
GGGCGUAAAGCGAACGUAGGCGGAUUGUUAAGUGAGGGGGGAAAUCCCAGGGCUAAACCCUGGAACUGCCUUUCAUACUGGCAAUCUAGAGUCCGAGAGAGGUGAGUGGAAUUCCGAGUGUAGAGGUGAAAUUCGUAGAUAUUCGGAGGAACACCAGUGGCGAAGGCGGCUCACUGGCUCGGUACUGACGCUGAGGUGCGAAAGCGUGGGGAGCAAACAG